GUGUAUGUGUGUGUGUGUGUGUGUGUGUGUUUGUGUGUAAUUCAAUAAUUAAUAUUUUCAUAAGAUUUUAAACAUGUUUAUUUUGCGUUAGGCAUGUGACCUUACCUGUUCUAAUCGGGGUUGCUGGAUUGCUAUUGCUACUGGUUGCUGUGGUUGGCUUGGUAUUCUGUAAAACUUGUGCAGGGAGGAAUAGGGCAUCAAGAGAGAAAAACAACUUGACACAUGCACCUGUGACCCUUGGAACAAACUCUCAGCCUGAGGAUAGCCUGACAUAUAGCACUGUGGCCUUAAAGGAAAGAAGCAACAACCACAAACAACCCCAGGGUUCCACAGCAUCUCUAUCCACUGACCACCCUAAUGUGACCCACUGCCACAAGCCCAGUUCUACAGAGCCUCUGGACACUGCUGGUGCUGCUGAUGUGGUCUACAGCGCUGUAUCAAGAGUGCAAUGAGGGGUGUUAUUACCAAAACUGCUCAGCAGGGGGUGAUCAGCUCUCAAGUCUAAGAUGUUGGGGGCCACAAAGUAGGCCUACAUAGAAGACACCAAAGAUUUAGGCCUACUGUUAAACUUUAGUCCGGACUUCACAGUAAAGUGCCCUUGUUACAUUGCACCCAAAAACACAGUGUAAAAUAUGUAAUAAUAUUAAAUUGUGACAUGCUUUAGGGAUUGUUUUGGAAUAGCUAUAUGUUCUGUAAAGUCCAGAGUAUUAUAUAUUGACUAGUGCUUUACCCUUUAGGGGUCUAAAGACAUUCCUUUAUGCUUAUUGCUUACCACUAUGCUGUAGAUAUCUAUCUGUGACAUCUGUGCUAUUCUUGGCUUUGUGGUAUUCACAGGAAGAUUACAGUGCAACAAAGUCACGUGAUUCAAUGCCUGUUGCCUGUAUUGUUACAGUAUUUAAUUUCAAAACAAAUAAAACAUAGUUUGUUUAUUGCUUA